rnacentral:misc_RNA from 1 species
CAGAGUUAUCCAACUCCCAAACCCAUGUGAACUUAUCUCUUUGUUGCCUCGGCGCAAGCUACCCGGGACUCGCGCCCCGGGCGGCCCGCCGGCGGACAAACCAAAACUCUUGUUAAUCUUAGUUGAUUAUCUGAGUGCCUUAUUUAAUAAGUCA